UAUGUAACUCUCAGUGUAGUUCAAAAAUUUGAAAUCUUAAGGUCGCCCCGGAAGUGCUUCGUAAUUUUUUGUUACUAUAACAACAACCUUCAUCCCAUUAGACGACGUUUUAAAUUUAUAUUAGAUUAAAAUGAUUUAACAAAUAACCAAAAUCCCUUGCAAUCAGUCUUCUGACUUUUAUUUUGCGUUAUCAAGACUGUACGUUAUUUGUCUCACAGGUUACCGGCCACGUCUCAAGUCGAUAAAAAGUGAAUUAUUAAGAAAGUGUCAGUAGCUCUGAGAGAAGGUUUCUGAAGUAUCAUUCAGCGCGAUGACUGAAAGAAAGGUUUUGUAAGAUGCAAAAUACUUGCCCAACUCACUGAAAAAAAAUACAUCAACAAAAAAAAAAAAAAAAAA
rnacentral:lncRNA from 1 species